GACGGGGGGGUCAAGCGUUGUUCGGAAUCAUUGGGCGUAAAGCGCGUGCAGGUGGCUUUGCAAGUCAGAUGUGAAAGCCCAGGGCUUAACCCUGGAAGUGCAUUUGAAACUGCUCAGCUUGAGUAUGGAAGAGGGUCGUGGAAUUCCAGGUGUAGUGGUGAAAUACGUAGAUAUCUGGAGGAACACCGGUGGCGAAGGCGGCGACCUGGUCCAAUACUGACACUCAUACGCGAAAGCGUGGGGAUCAAACAGG
rnacentral:rRNA from 1 species